rnacentral:tRNA from 1 species
GCCACCCUAGCUCAGCUGGCUAGAGCAGCUGUUUUGUAAACAGCAGGUCCUGGGUUCGAGUCCCAGGGGUGGCU